rnacentral:tRNA from 1 species
GCGGCAAUAGCUCAGUGGUAGAGCCCCCGCUUCGCGUGCGGGGGGGACCUGGGAUCGAUUCCUGGCUGCUUCC